GCGGCAUGCCUAACACAUGCAAGUCGACCGCUGUGCUUGCACAGAGGGGCGAACGGGUGAGUAACACGUAUUUAACCUACCUUAUAGUCUGGAAUAACUGCGGGCAACUGAAGCUAAUGUUGGCUAGAAGUCCAUUGGAAUCACUGGAGGACCAAAGGCCCGUUUGGGUCGCUAUUAGAUGGGGAUGCGGCGUAUUAGUUAGUUGGUGAGGUAAUGGCUCACCAAGACGAUGAUACGUAGCCGGCCUGAGAGGGUGAAC
rnacentral:rRNA from 1 species